AAAACAUGUCUCUACAGUUAUUUUGUUUCUUGAUAUUCAAAGAAUUUUGAUUAUCCUUUUGCAGUAUGUCUUGGAAGAACUUAAUGUAAGAUCUUUUGCAAUGAUGAAAAACCUGAUUACAGUGUAUUGGUAAAACGGCUCGGGAAGUCAAUGGGGGCUCGUGGUAAAAGAAGUUAGAGAAAUGUCUCAGCAAGAUAUCUUAAGAUUCGAGGAGGCCGGAAAAGUGACUAUUGCUGGACAGACGCUGGAGCUAACAGAUAUCAAGAUUGUCAGGGUUUUCAAACGCUACGGUUAAUGCAAAUGGAGAUGAUGGCUAAUCGUGGGAUACGUGAUAAUGGGAAGAGGGUAUGGAUUUAACAGGCGGAGGAUUGGGCUACAGAUCUGAUCAGGAUGAUGGAAAUGGCGUUAGUGAGAUGUUUGGACAUGAUAGGAGCCCUCUACAGAGUACCGGAUCUUUUCCUGAAAGGAAGACCAUACCGCAUUCUGGUGGACAUAUCAAGUUUAGCCAAGGAGGAAGACCAAAUUUCAACAAGGGUCCAAGGAUUCGGAGGCCAAGCCAAUUAUCGCAGUAACACUGGAGUGUGUUACAUAUGUGAUCAACCGGGACACAUUUCGAAGUUUCGUCCCAAUAGACAACGGAGUAACCAGCAAGGUUAUUCAUCGCUGAGGAUGGAAGAUGUCACUUGUUUCUUCUGUGGAAGGAAUGGCCAUUAUGCAUCGUCAUGUCCAAACAAACCAAUCCAUGCGACCCCUCUAACGAUCCCGAACUCCUCCUAGCUGUCCAGCAAUUGAGCCAGCACCAAAGAAUCAAAACCUAGGAGGUGGUCGGGUUUAUGCCUUAGGUGUAGAAAACCCAUACAAUGCAGGACCGUCAAGCGGUCCCAUCACAGGUAGGUCCCAUCACAGGUAUUGUGGGUGCUUAACCUCCUCUUUUUAUUGAACUAAAUUUAGUUGUUGGAAUCUAGUUGAUGUUAUAAAUCAUUAUGUGGAUGGCCCAUAACCAAUGACCAUGUCUAGGCCCAGCCGUGGCCUUGUCCAAAAGGAGAG